GUGGCCGAGGUCUGAAGUGGUCGAGACGCCGGAACGUGGCCCCGGAAGAAGCCGGUUCCAGUCCGGCCGGUCACCCCA
rnacentral:tRNA from 1 species